rnacentral:rRNA from 1 species
UACGGAGGAUGCAAGCGUUAUCCGGAAUGAUUGGGCGUAAAGCGUCCGUAGGUGGCUGUUCAAGUCUGCUGUUAAAGCGCAGGGCUUAACCCUGUAAAGGCGGUGGAAACUGGAGAGCUAGAGUGUGGUAGGGGUAGAGGGAAUUCCCGGUGUAGCGGUGAAAUGCGUAGAGAUCGGGAAGAACACCAGUGGCGAAAGCGCUCUACUGGGCCACAACUGACACUGAUGGACGAAAGCUAGGGGAGCGAAUGGG